rnacentral:lncRNA from 1 species
AGGUGAGCAGGGCCGCCCCCACCAAUCUUCUGUGCGGUCUGUGGGACGGACCCAGGGCCUUUUCCAGAAGCAUACAAGGCCCGCACAAGUUCUCGGCCUUUGCCAUUUUUCAGCAGCCCCGGGCGCAGAAAAAGUCUGAUCGUCAAACAUCUUCAGUGCCCUGGAUUUCUGACCCUGCCUGCCAGGUUCAGGAACGACCCA